rnacentral:rRNA from 1 species
UCUGGUAAUUAUGGCAAGAAGGACACACCCGUUCCCAUCCCGAACACGGAAGUUAAGCUUCUUGGGGGCUCUCCCCCUGCAAUU